UGGUCGAAAAAUGGCUCGUGAGCUAAACAUAUCGCAAUAUUGAAAAAUGUGCUCGGGGUAAAGCCAUUGAAAUUCCAAAAUGUGCAAGAACUUACAUCGCAAUAGAAAGAAAAUAGACUCAAAUGAGCUAAAGAUUUGCUUCGCUGAAAGUGGUAAACUGCCGAAUUCUGUUUUCUCAGAUGAGAAAACAUUCGUUGUCCAGCAGUUUGUAAACAAACAAAAUGAUCGCGUUUACUUGCCAAAGAAACUCAAGCGCCGGCAAUGGUGAUGGUGUGGGCCGCCAUAACAGCCGAUGAUC